CCUACGGGAGGCAGCAGUGGGGAAUAUUGGACAAUGGGGGGAACUCUGAUCCAGCGACGCCGCGUGAGUGAAGAAGUAUUUCGGUAUGUAAAGCUCUAUCAGCAGGGAAGUAAGAAAUGACGGUACCUGACUAAGAAGCCCCGGCUAACUACGUGCCAGCAGCCGCGGUAAUACGUAGGGGGCAAGCGUUAUCCGGAUGUACUGGGUGUAAAGGGAGCGUAGACGGCGAUGCAAGUCUGAAGUGAAAGGCGGGGGCCCAACCCCCGGACUGCUUUGGAAACUGUAUGGCUGGAGUGCAGGAGAGGUAAGUGGAAUUCCUGGUGUAGCGGUGAAAUGCGUAGAUAUUAGGAGGAACACCAGUGGCGAAGGCGGCUUACUGGACUGUAACUGACGUUGAGGCUCGAAAGCGUGGGGAGCAAACAGGAUUAGAUACCCGGGUAGUC
rnacentral:rRNA from 1 species